AUGGCCGACGGCGAGCCGGAGGCGCCGGCAGAGGAUAACCAUCCAUUCCCGGAGGCGUCGUCAGCCGAGAUGGAGAAGCACCCGCCGCCGGAAGCCCCCGAGGCGUCUCCGGCCGAGACGAAGCCAGAGAAGAAGGUGGUGACGGAGACGCAGGUGAAGGAGGUGAGCAAGUCGGGGCCGAAGGAGAUAGAGAAAGAGGUGAAGGUGACAGUGGAGAAGGAGAAGGAAAAUGUGGAGAUCGAGGCGACGCUGCGGCCGACCGGAGCUGGGACAGAGGCUCCCCCCAUCCUUGCGGUGCCGAUGUUGGCCGUGCCGUGCUUCAUAGCUCCUCCAGGGUUUGCGGGCCAGUUUGCAAUGAGCCAUCAAGCAGCUUUGGCAAGUGUUACAGCUCAGGCACAUAUACAAUUGCAAUCACCAGCCCCAUCUGCAUAUUCAGAAGGGCUGCCGAGUCCAUUUCCACAUCCUAUAACACCUAAAGCUAUUCGGCCACUGCAGCAAGCACCAUCAGUAACUCAAGGAAGUGUUGGAAGACCGAUUGCAGAGAGGCCAUCCUCAUCUGAGUCAAAAUUGCAACAUCAUGCAGCUGUAAAUAUUGUGGGUGAUGGCUUCAAUUGGAGGAAAUAUGGUCAGAAGCAAGUGAAAAGUAGUGAUAAUUCUAGGAGCUACUAUAGAUGCACAAAUUCAAGUUGUUUGGCCAAAAAGAAAGUUGAGCAUUGUCCUGAUGGCCGUGUUAUAGAAAUCAUAUAUAGAGGAACACACAGUCAUGAACCACCACAGAACACCAGAUUUGUAAAAGAGAGGUCGCCUCAUAUUUAUGUCCCCCCCAUAGGUGAUGGAACUCUGCAACUUGUGAACACUGAAAUUGUGGAAUCCCGUACACCGACAUGUAAAUUAAACCAGAGUGCUGCCAUCGAAAAUUCUGAACAGCAGCUCUUUUGCUCAAGUGAUUGUGAAGGGGAUGUUGGUAACAAGUCAGAAGAUGAACAUCGUAGUGCAGAGUCGCAGCCAAAGCGAAGGAUAGUUGAAGCCACAACAUCUAACUUAACUCCAGUUCUCCGAACUGUCAGGGAGCAAAAGAUUAUCGUGCAGGCUGGGAAGAUGAGCGAUGGGUACAGAUGGCGUAAGUAUGGGCAGAAAAUUGUGAAGGGAAAUCCAAACCCCAGGAGCUAUUAUCGCUGCACACAUGAUGGGUGCCCUGUCCGUAAGCAUGUCGAAAAAGCACCAGAUGACAUAAACAAUAUGGUAGUAACCUAUGAAGGUAAGCACAAUCAUGGUCAACCAUUUAGAAGCAGCAACGAAUCAAGGGAUGAAUCCGUCUCUGUGAUCACUCCAGCAAUGACAAUCACUGAGCAACCCAGUACAGUGUCUUCAACAUCGGGUCAGAAGCUUCCAACCAGCACAGAGAAGGCCGCUGACAGUGAGUCCACCAUGGACACAACUUUAGAACUUGGAGGUAAGAAGCCACCAGAGAGCGCACAAACCCCGCGCAGCAUGAAAAUUAAUCCAGACGGCCUGAAGAAUCCCCUCCUGAAAGAUACUUCUGCAGCAGUUCCUGUCCAAAACAAUUGA
rnacentral:rRNA from 1 species